rnacentral:rRNA from 1 species
CGGGAUGCAGCAGCAGUGGGGAAUAUUGCACAAUGGAGGAAACUCUGAUGCAGCAACGCCGCGUGGAGGAUGACACUUUUCGGAGCGUAAACUCCUUUUAUAUAGGAAGAAGAUGACGGUACUAUAUGAAUAAGCGCCGGCUAACUCCGUGCCAGCAGCCGCGGUAAUACGGAGGGCGCAAGCGUUACUCGGAAUCACUGGGCGUAAAGAGCGUGUAGGCGGAUUAAAAAGUCAGAAGUGAAAUCCUAUAGCUUAACUAUAGAACUGCUUCUGAAACUCUUAAUCUAGAAUAUGGGAGAGGUAGAUGGAAUUUCUAGUGUAGGGGUAAAAUCCGUAGAGAUCAGAAGGAAUACCGAUUGCGAAGGCGAUCUACUAGAACAUUAUUGACGCUGAGACGCGAAAGCGUGGGGAGCAAACAGGAUUAGAUACCCGCGUAGUC